AACGAACGCUGGCGGCGUGCUUAACACAUGCAAGUCGAACGCGAAAGGGACUUCGGUCCUGAGUAAAGUGGCGCACGGGUGAGUAACGCGUAGAUAACCUGUCUUCAUGUCUGGAAUAAUACGCCGAAAGGGGUACUAAUACCGGAUAUUCUUGCUUUUCAUAAGUUAUGCAAGCAAAGGUGGCCUCUGCAUAUGCUACUGCAUGAAGAGGGGUCUGCGUACCAUUAGCUAGUAGGUGGGGUAAUGGCCUACCUAGGCGACGAUGGUUAGCGGGUCUGAGAGGAUGAUCCGCCACACUGGCACUGGAACACGGGCCAGACUCCUACGGGAGGCAGCAGUGAGGAAUAUUGCGCAAUGGGGGAAACCCUGACGCAGCGACGCCGCGUGAGUGAGGAAGGCCUUCGGGUCGUAAAGCCCUGUCAAGAGGAAAGAAGUGUACAAUGGCUAAUACCUGUUGUAUUUGACGGUACCUCUAAAGGAAGCACCGGCUAACUCCGUGCCAGCAGCCGC
rnacentral:rRNA from 1 species